UACGUAGGGGGCAAGCGUUGUCCGGAUUUAUUGGGCGUAAAGAGCGUGUAGGCGGCCUGAAAGGUCAGCUGUGAAAACUCGAGGCUCAACCUCGAGACGUCGGUUGAAACCAUCUGGCUAGAGUCCGGAAGAGGAGUGUGGAAUUCCCGGUGUAGCGGUGAAAUGCGCAGAUAUCGGGAAGAACACCAGUGGCGAAGGCGGCGCUCUGGGACGGUACUGACGCUGAGACGCGAAAGCGUGGGGAGCGAACAGG
rnacentral:rRNA from 1 species